AGCAGAUGCAGGAUCCAAGCGUCUUGUACAGUCUGCAGAAUUGUCCCACUGCAAUUCAGUUGAAUAAGAAAGAAGGAGAAGCUGUGAACUGUAGGUCUAAGGACUUCUCAAACUUUUUCAUGUACAUGGAGUCACCCUGGGCUCUUAUCAAAAUGUAGAUUCUGAUUCAGUAGGUCUGGGGAGCUGCUGCUGCUGCUGGUUCCAAACUACGCUGGAUUAAAAAGAGGCAAAGAAGCAGAAGAUAAGCACAGGGUUGCCUGGGAUGAAGUUUGCUCAGCCAUUAAAAGGUGGGAAAGUCUCCUGCUGCUGUGUAUAUGAGAGAAAGCCACUGUUAACGUCAUGUGUCAGCUACCCAUCAAUUGAGGCAGAGGAAGCAAUUGGUUCAUCAAUGGGUUGGUAAGAAGCCCUCCAAACCUUAAUUAUCUGAGUGC
rnacentral:lncRNA from 1 species